GGUGACGAGUGGCGGACGGGUGAGUAAUGUCUGGGAAACUGCCCGAUAGAGGGGGAUAACUACUGGAAACGGUAGCUAAUACCGCAUAAUCUCGCAAGAGCAAAGUGGGGGACCUUCGGGCCUCACGCUAUCGGAUGUGCCCAGAUGGGAUUAGCUAGUAGGUGGGGUAACGGCUCACCUAGGCGACGAUCCCUAGCUGGUCUGAGAGGAUGACCAGCCACACUGGAACUGAGACACGGUCCAGACUCCUACGGGAGGCAGCAGUGGGGAAUAUUGCACAAUGGGCGCAAGCCUGAUGCAGCCAUGCCGCGUGUAUGAAGAAGGCCUUCGGGUUGUAAAGUACUUUCAGCGGGGAGGAAGGUGUUGUGGUUAAUAACCGCAGCAAUUGACGUUACCCGCAGAAGAAGCACCGGCUAACUCCGUGCCAGCA
rnacentral:rRNA from 1 species